CCUACGGGCGGCAGCAGUGAGGAAUAUUGGUCAAUGGACGAGAGUCUGAACCAGCCAAGUAGCGUGAAGGAUGACUGCCCUAUGGGUUGUAAACUUCUUUUAUAUGGGAAUAAAAUGUUCCACGUGUGGGAUUUUGUAUGUACCAUAUGAAUAAGGAUCGGCUAACUCCGUGCCAGCAGCCGCGGUAAUACGGAGGAUCCGAGCAUUAUCCGGAUUUAUUGGGUUUAAAGGGAGCGUAGGUGGAUUGUUAAGUCAGUUGUGAAAGUUUGCGGCUCAACCGUAAAAUUGCAGUUGAAACUGGCAGUCGUGAGUACAGUAGAGGUGGGCGGAAUUCGUGGUGUAGCGGUGAAAUGCUUAGAUAUCACGAAGAACUCCGAUUGCGAAGGCAGCUCACUGGACUGCAACUGACACUGAGGCUCGAAAGUGUGGGUAUCAAACAGGAUUAGAUACCCCUGUAGUC
rnacentral:rRNA from 1 species